rnacentral:rRNA from 1 species
UACACAUGCAAGUCGAGCGGUAAGGCCUUUCGGGGUACACGAGCGGCGAACGGGUGAGUAANACGUGGGUGAUCUGCCCUGCACUCUGGGAUAAGCUUGGGAAACUGGGUCUAAUACCGGAUAUGACCACAUGNNGCAUGNGNUGUGGUGGAAAGAUUUAUCGGUGCAGGAUGGGCCCGCGGCCUAUCAGCUUGUUGGUGGGGUAAUGGCCUACCAAGGCGACGACGGGUAGCCGACCUGAGAGGGUGACCGGCCACACUGGGACUGAGACACGGCCCAGACUCCUACGGGAGGCAGCAGUGGGGAAUAUUGCACAAUGGGCGGAAGCCUGAUGCAGCGACGCCGCGUGAGGGAUGAAGGCCUUCGGGUUGUAAACCUCUUUCAGCAGGGACGAAGCGUGAGUGACGGUACCUGCAGAAGAAGCACCGGCUAACUACGUGCCAGCAGCCGCGGUAAUACGUAGGGUGCGAGCGUUGUCCGGAAUUACUGGGCGUAAAGAGUUCGUAGGCGGUUUGUCGCGUCGUUUGUGAAAACCCGGGGCUCAACUUCGGGCUUGCAGGCGAUACGGGCAGACUUGAGUGUUUCAGGGGAGACUGGAAUUCCUGGUGUAGCGGUGAAAUGCGCAGAUAUCAGG